UAUCUGGGGGCCGCGCUGGCGGGUUGGCCGCUGUCGUUGGUCAUAGAACAUUACGGCUGGUCGGGAAUGUUCAGUUUGCUCUCGGUUGCC
rnacentral:tRNA from 3 species